GCUUCGGUGGUCUAGUGGUUAGAGCGUCCGCCUCAGAUGCGAGAGGUCACGGAUUCGAUGUCCGGCUGAGUUA